CGCCUUAGGGAGGCCUGGCCCGGGGCCUCGCAAAGGUGACCAAAGGCCAGUCAGGCCUCGGGAGGCCUGGUCCCGGGAAGGUGCCUUCGCUACAGAACAGAUUUUGCCUGAAUCUGACCGCUCCUUCCAGGCAGCAGUAAAGCGCAGCCUCUCUGUUGCUGCAUUGAAAUCAGUGAUAUCUCAAUCCAGGCACUGGCUUGGUCCUGCGUUAUGAUGGGAUCGCACCUCCCAGCGAGGAACAGUGCGGCCUUGCAGGCUGAUAACUGAAGGGAAUGACCAGAGCUUGUAAAUCAAAGCUGCUGCUGACACCUGAUCGCGGGCACCUGGCAGCUCCAGGAAACAAGUGCAGGCACUGGGUUACAGAAGCAAAGGAAUUUAGGUACCUGAGUACUGCCCUAGUCCUGCUACAGACACUGAAAAACUCAGAGUCCUAAAACCACUUCGCAGCUGCAGGCCGAGCUGUGAGACAUCUGAACGCACUAAACACCUACCCCAACCAAUAAAUUCCCGGAGGAUGAUCUCAGGUGCUCACCAUGUGGUCAGUACAUGUCCCACUUAGACACAUCUUCCACAGCAUCCAAACCAAGACUGACUGGGAUCAUUCCAGUGUGAUGACAUCUGAAGUGCAUUUGUAAGAACUGAGAAAGUAUCACCUGAGAAAGGUCACAAGGAAAAGUCUGGAGGGAAGAGAUGCAUUUGUGGUGCUGGAAAUGUGUGUGAGAGGACACCUGCAGAGAAGAUGAUGUUAUAGCUACUGAUGUGAUGCGCUGCUCAGAGAAGACAAGUCUGAUGAGGAACCAUGCCAGUCUCCUAAGUGGAUAGUGCAGUGCUGCCUGGAGGGAGGAGUGCCGGCAUUUCCCAGAUCACUUUGACGUGCCUCUCAUUACCAGAGAAAAGUUCAGUGACAAUGAAAUGCAUUUUAUUAUGUUUAAAUGAAAAACUUUAAAAACCCACAGAUUUCUAGAAUUUAAAAAUUAUUUGCAAGUGUUAGAACAGAAACAUCAAUUUAUAACCAGUGAUAAUAUGGGUGAGGACUCCUGAUAUACCCCUUUAUGCACUCUGGGCUCACAGAAUUAAUCUGCAGUUGUUAAAGCUGUCCCAGUCUAUCUGGUGCAGUUUCAUGCUCCAGUAUGUGAUGCCAGGUAGGAGCCUUAAUCCUGAAUAUUCUCUGUCUAUAUUCUUAUUUCCUGGAGAUCCAUUGGUUAUAAACAUUCCGUGGGCUUUCUGGAAAUGUAACAUGUUGAAAACUAACUAGUCACUAUUUAAAU